rnacentral:rRNA from 1 species
AUUGAACGCUGGCGGCAGGCCUAACACAUGCAAGUCGAGCGGAUGAAGGGAGCUUGCUCCUGGAUUCAGCGGCGGACGGGUGAGUAAUGCAUAGGAAUCUGCCUGGUAGUGGGGGAUAACGUCCGGAAACGGGCGCUAAUACCGCAUACGUCCUGAGGGAGAAAGAGGGGGAUCUUCGGACCUCACGCUAUCAGAUGAGCCUAGGUCGGAUUAGCUAUUUUGUGGGGUAAAGGCCUACCAAGGCGACGAUCCGUAACUGGUCUGAGAGGAUGAUCAGUCACACGGGAACUGAGACACGGUCCAGACCCCUACGGGGCGGCGCUGUGGGGACUAUUGGACAGUGGGCGAGAGCCUGGUCGAGCCGUGCCGCGUGUGUUGAGAAGGUCUUCGGAUUGUAGAGCACUUUUAGGUGGGGGGAAGGGCAGUAAGUUAAUACCUUGCUGUUUUGACGUUACCUACAGAAUAAGCACCGGCUAACUUCGUG